AAAAAUGAUGCAACAUGGCAGAGAAAAUGCACUUGGCUUCCAGCUCCCUCAACAGCCAUUAACAGCCUCCUACCGUGGCUCCCACCUCCUAUGUCUCCAGAGAUCAAGGCAAUGGGGAGGGAAAGCUGGCAGGAGGCAGUCCCUUGUGGGCCUGAGGCCCUUUGGCUCCUAAGUGUCCACAUUCUGUUCUCUUCCAAGUCCCUUCAUUGUUAAGCUGAUUCUCCAACAAGAUGCAAUGAACAGAUGCAAUGUCUACCCCGCGCUGGGCGAGUUCCCGAGGCCAUGGGCUGUUUGGAAUCACACUUCAUUAAGAGACAAACUGUUCCUUCCCUUAUUGUGCCUUAAUGCUUAUGACAAGGCAGCUCUGAAUUGAUCCCAAGCUGGAGCCUCUGAAUGCUUUAAAGAGUUUGAAUAUAGACGGUUUGAGAGCAAAAAGGGAGCUUUAAAUAUUGCUCAGUGGCCCCCAUCUCCCCUCUUCCCACAUUUACUGAGGCACGAGAUGGGAUGGGACCUGUCCCGGGUCACAGCAGCAGUCGUCAGCGCCUUGGCCCUCCUGGCUUGUAGGAUGCUGCUUUUCCUGGGCUUCUGGCAGUCCAGGCCAGGAUGGGGGAGCCAGGAAUUCAUGUUGUCAUUGGAAAAGCUGAUAAACAGGAGCACAAUUCAAACCGGCUGUUUUCCUCCUUAGAGUCUGGCCUCCCUCUUUCUGGCUGCUCUGUGGGUCUUCCUGUUCUGACUUAGGUUCCUGUCAAGUACUUAAAUGCAGCCUUAACAUCCCAUACAGUCUUGUCCCCACAGCUUCAUGUGAACAUCUCCAUGGGUCAUGCAUAUAUCGUCCCUGCAGUGUGCAAAGUGUGCUCACCUGCACUGCUGCACAGGCAACCAACAUACUUAGUGCCCAGAGCCUUCUCUCUGGGCCCAGGACUCAGUGAUGGGGCCUUACUUAGCCCUGCCUCCUGGGUGGGGUGGGGGAGCUGAGGGAUCGUGAGGACAAGAGGUAGAGGGAAAAGAAAAGAAGAUGGUGUUUGAGGAUAGGGGAGGGACAGGAGAGGGGACAGAAAGGUCCCAGAGCAUGAUGAUGAAGGAAAGGGAUCUGGCAUUCAUGAAGCACCUACGAUGGUUCAGGCACAAACACUGAAACCUCAAAUUGGCCCUGGCAGAAGGGGACCAUCAUAGCAAGGUGGGGGGGGGGUGCAGAAAGUGAGUUUCUGUUUCAAGAACAGACUUCACUAGUUCAGAGUUGCACAGCUAGUGAGGUAUGGAGCUGGGCUUUGAAUCAGGUCAGCUGCCUGAAUGCCCAACUUCUUCAGCCCUUGGAAGGAGAGGGUGGGGAGAAGAAGAAGGAAAAGACAAGGAAGAAAGAAAGAAGAGAGAAGGGGAGAGGAAUGGAAGUCCAAAGAGUGGGAGGAAUUUGAUUUCAGAACCAUCUCCAGCUGACCCUUGAGCCAGCAAGGACAGGGAGAAGGGAAGAGCAAGAACACGAAGGGCCUCAAGCACCGGGAUGCCUUUGCCAGCCUUAGAUAAUUCCCAGAGCGCACAGAGCCCUGCAGGUUCCUGGGUCCUUCUCCAGAGAAGAGGCACAGAGAUUCUGGCAGCAAGGUUCAGAAGGGGUGAGGAAACUGGGCACUGACAAAGGGAGGGGAUUGGCUCAAAUUCGACCCCAGAGUCAGCUCUGGUGGGGUUGGGAGCCUGGAUGGGUGGGAGAAGAUAGAAUCCAAUCGUGAAAACCAUAAGGGACCUUCAAACUCAUCUUGCCCAGAUGUCUCCCAUUUCACAGAUGAGGGAACUGAGGUUUUGAGAGCUUCCCCUGAGGACUCUGCAAAACGAGGUGGUGUCUGGUUUGGAUGAAAGUGGUCGGUGAUUCCUCAACUCCUGCCCUGCCUCCCUCUCUCGUUCCUCCCUAACAUGUUAUGCUCUUGUUGGGGCUGGGAUGCCCUAGGCCCAAGGUUACCAAAUCCUGGGUUUGGAAAAUUGCUGCUGGGGGUGGUAUCUAGGACCAGAGAGGAAUCUACUAUUUCUACUGUGAAAUAAUUCAGCAGGGGGUCUUCUUACUUCUUCCCUUUGAGGACAAAGUUUCUCUCGAAUAAAGAGACUGAAGC
rnacentral:lncRNA from 1 species